rnacentral:rRNA from 1 species
AACGUGGACCCGUUACCCGGGUUGCGGACAGUGUCUGGUGGGUAGUUUGACUGGGGCGGUCUCCUCCUAAAGAGUAACGGAGGAGCACGAAGGUUGGCUAAUCCUGGUCGGACAUCAGGAGGUUAGUGCAAUGGCAUAAGCCAGCUUGACUGCGAGCGUGACGGCGCGAGCAGGUGCGAAAGCAGGUCAUAGUGAUCCGGUGGUUCUGAAUGGAAGGGCCAUCGCUCAACGGAUAAAAGGUACUCCGGGGAUAACAGGCUGAUACCGCCCAAGAGUUCAUAUCGACGGCGGUGUUUGGCACCUCGAUGUCGGCUCAUCACAUCCUGGGGCUGAAGUAGGUCCCAAGGGUAUGGCUGUUCGCCAUUUAAAGUGGUACGCGAGCUGGGUUUAGAACGUCGUGAGACAGUUCGGUCCCUAUCUGCCGUGGGCGCUGGAGAACUGAGGGGGGCUGCUCCUAGUACGAGAGGACCGGAGUGGACGCAUCACUGGUGUUCGGGUUGUCAUGCCAAUGGCACUGCCCGGUAGCUAAAUGCGGAAGAGA